rnacentral:rRNA from 1 species
UCCUACGGGGGGCAGCAGUGGGGAAUAUUGCACAAUGGGGGGAACCCUGAUGCAGCAAUGCCGCGUGGGUGAAGAAGCACUCCGGUGCGUAAAGCCCUGUCAGCAGGGAAGAAAAUGACAGUACCUGGACAAGAAGCCCCGGCUAACUACGUGCCAGCAGCCGCGGUAAUACGUAGGGGGCAAGCGUUAUCCGGAUUUACUGGGUGUAAAGGGAGCGCAGGCGGCGUGGCAAGUCAGAAGUGAAAGCCCGGGGCUCAACCCCGGGACUGCUUUGGAAACUGUAUGGCUGGAGUGCUGGAGAGGCA